AGUGAACGCUGGCGGUAGGCCUAACACAUGCAAGUCGAACGGCAGCACAGUAAGAGCUUGCUCUUACGGGUGGCGAGUGGCGGACGGGUGAGGAAUACAUCGGAAUCUACUUUUUCGUGGGGGAUAACGUAGGGAAACUUACGCUAAUACCGCAUACGACCUACGGGUGAAAGCAGGGGAUCUUCGGACCUUGCGCGAUUGAAUGAGCCGAUGUCGGAUUAGCUAGUUGGCGGGGUAAAGGCCCACCAAGGCGACGAUCCGUAGCUGGUCUGAGAGGAUGAUCACCCACACUGGAACUGAGACACGGUCCAGACUCCUACGGGAGGCAGCAGUGGGGAAUAUUGGACAAUGGGCGCAAGCCUGAUCCAGCCAUACCGCGGGGGUGAAGAAGGCCUUCGGGUUGUAAAGCCCUUUUGUUGGGAAAGAAAAGCAGCAGGUUAAUACCCCGCUGUUCGGACGGUACCCAAAGAAUAAGCACCGGCUAACUUCGU
rnacentral:rRNA from 1 species